CUCGUACAGCAUCACCAGCACCAUCUACUGUAUCAGCGCAGCCGGCAUCCCAGCAGUCCUUUGGAGCAGCACCGAGUUUUCGCCAGGAGGACUGAUCGUCUGUGCCGCGUCAGGCUGAGCGGCGACAGCAGGCUCCGAGUGGCAGAGUUUACGCAGCUCAUGUGGAGGAUUCUUCAGCAGCCGACCGAGUGGUGGCAGGUAUC
rnacentral:lncRNA from 1 species